rnacentral:rRNA from 1 species
UACAGAGGUCUCAAGCGUUGUUCGGAUUUACUGGGCGUAAAGGGCGCGUAGGCGGCCACGACAAGUCACUUGUGAAAUCUCCGGGCUUAACUCGGGACGGUCAAGUGAUACUGUCGGGCUAGAGUGCAGAAGGGGCAACUGGAAUUCUCGGUGUAGCGGUGAAAUGCGUAGAUAUCGAGAGGAACACCUGCGGCGAAGGCGGGUUGCUGGGCUGACACUGACGCUGAGGCGCGAAAGCCAGGGGAGCGAACGGG